AGAGAGAGAGAGAGAGGGAGUUGUGUAAAGAGACUGAAGUCUUUUCUUGCGCAGCUUUUCUUCUUCUUCUUCUUCUGCUGCUGCUGCUGCUGCUGUCACUUCUUAAGUGGCCUCAGCAUUUCCACAUUCUGUGAAGCACCAGGCCGAACCAGACCGAGUUAAAUGGUGGAACCAGGCCGAUCGUCAGAGGGCGACACACCCCGCUGAGGGUCCAGGAGAAGGAGGAUCCUGGAGGAGUCGGUUCUGCACCGUCACCUCCGAUGGUCGGAGCAGCGACCCGGGCCCUGGUCAAGUCUUCAGCUCAUGAAUGUCUCCCGUCCCGUCCUGUGACAUCACCGUGGCCGUGACAACGGACUGAAAUCUUGACUGACGGACGAUACGUGUCAGAGAAGAACAUCAGGAAUGUCUCCUGUCCCUGGAGCCACAGAUCAGUGAUCUGAUCAUGUCACAGGAGGACGACCUCAGGAUCAAAGGUCACAUCACGGCUCUUCAGGACGGAUGGUUCUGGAAAUGUGAUCUGAAAAAAAAAAAAAACGAAUUUCUUUCAAAAUUGAAAAGCCUCAUUUAUGCGUCUGUGUUUGUUGGUCGUGUCAGAGCUGCUGAAGUCACAUGAUCGUCCAAACGUCUCCUCAGUCAUUCCUUACAUAUCAGCUCAUUUCACCGACUCACAGCUGAUCGCACACACUGCGACUUCACUGCACCCACUGACUUGAAGUGUGUGUGUGUGUGUGUGUGUGUGUGAGUCUGGCUGCAGGCCGCCUCGUUCCCACGCAGCAGGUUUAAAAAGGAAGUGUAGAGAUCUCCUCUUCUUCCUCUUCAUCUUCUCCUCUCCGCAGGAAUGUGUUCGUCCAAAAACCAAGCUGUCCCUGAGCCUCAGCUGUUCUUCUCUCUGCUCCACAUGGCUGACACACUGCAGUUCUUCACUGGCAAGCUUUAUGUUCCUCUAUGCAUGCUAAAGCUGCCAGCUGAAGAACUGUGGUGGUCAGCCCGGGCCUCGGAGAACAGACGGACGGACGGACGGACGGAGAAGGAAGUGAGGACGGAACAUGAAACAUGGAUGGAUUUCUGACCUUCAGUCCCUGGAGCCACGUGUUGGUCUUCUGUUGGCUGUGACUAUGAUCUGGUCUCCACUGUCACCAGGGUCAGAAGGUGGUGCUGUAGUGAAAACACAAAGAAUCACAAACAAUAUGUUAAAGUAUGAAUUAAACACAGCUCUUUAACAUAACACAUGACUACCUUCAUUUUAGCCGUGUUUACAGUAGUAGUUUAACUUUGCUAAAUGCCAAUGUUUCACUGGUUGUGGCUGAACAUAAGGGACAUUAUUGGGGUAAAUAAUAUUCCUGUUUUUAAACAAAGAAUGUGUAAAAAAAAAUCUUGUUUGAACUUGGAUGAAAUUGAAAUGUGGAUUUCAAUAAAUGGUAUUUUUAA